rnacentral:lncRNA from 1 species
CCACUUGAACCAGAUUGCAAAAUAAAUUGAAGAAUGAAAAAUUUCCUAUUUAAUUUAAACGAGUACCAAGAUAGCAUAACAAGCGAGUCAAAAUUUAAACAAAUAAAGUCUUGCACCAAAUCACUUCAUCAAAUCAUUUAUAGAAGAAAAAACACAUUAAAAUCAAGUCAUAAUUAAAAGAAGGGAGCAAGAGAGUGGACCUUUAAUUGUAUUUGAUGUUGAGAGUUUGCAACUUAACAGAACAGAGACCGACCAAAAAUGAGCAGCAAAUGAACUCAACCAACAGAAACCAUCGACCAGAGAACUUCCACGUCGACCUUGACGGGCACAAACAUUGUGAGGAUGAUUCACUGGGUUUUCAUGGAUUUUUGGACUGGUUUUCGAAGCUGUUGUCCUGAAGUUUUGGAACUGGAUUUUUGUGUGAACUCCAACUCGUUUCAUGGCUGUUUGGUGGCAGAAUUUCAGCUGGGUUUGGACCAGUUUUUCAGGUCGUUUUUUGAAGCUAUUUUGCGGAGUGUUUUCAGCUCUUUUUUGAGCUAUUUUGAGCAGAUUUAGUUGCUGUUUUGGGUCAGUUUCAGGGUGUAUUAGAGCUGGAUUUUAGGGCUGUUCGCAGCUGAUCUUUUGCUGCAUUUUAAGAGGUGCUUUGGGGCUGUUUCAGAGUCAUUUUUGGACUGAGAAAAGGUCUGGUUUGGAGGCUUAUUUUCAUUUCGUUUUUGGGCUGUUGUUUGAAGCUUUGGGGAUUGGUUUUCAUGGCGAAACAAGCUGGGUUUUGAGGUAUUUUCAGGUGGUUUUAAUGGCUGAAUAGGCGUGCUUCAUGGCUUCUUAGGAGUGAAGAAGAUGAAGCUCAAAGGGAAUAGCUCUGUUGAAGAAACAGCAGCGGCCGGAGAUUUUCGACUAUGGUGUUGUUGCGGAGAGUGGAUGGACAAGUUUGGAGGCUUAUUUUCAUUUCGUUUCUGGGCUGUUGUUUGAAGCUUUGGGGAUUGGUUUUCAUGGCGAAACAAGCUGGGUUUUGAGGUAUUUUCAGGUGGUUUUAAUGGCUGAAUAGGCGUGCUUCAUGGCUUCUUAGGAGUGAAGAAGAUGAAGCUCAAAGGGAAUAGCUCUGUUGAAGAAACAACAGCGGCUGGAGAUUUUCGACUAUGGUGUUGCUGCUGAGAGUGGAUGGAGAUGUCUAGGUUCUCUCCAGAAGAAGACUAGGUUAGCUUGUUCACUUUGGGCUUUUUUUGAUUCAUA